rnacentral:misc_RNA from 1 species
AUGCAGCCCAUGCUGAUGUGUGUUAUCGCUUAUCCGUUUGAUAUCUAUAUAACCUAACAAGGCUCAUUGCUGUUUGAAAACUUUAUUAGUUAAUUUUUAGUCAACAGUGUUACAAUUUUCGGUUUGUCACCUUAAUCUUUAAUGCUUAUGUCUCAUACAUCGAACGAUAACGACUAAAAGUCCAUUCUCAGAAUCUGGUGGAAAUCUCUGGUUCAAUUGACUUAAGUAUGUAUGGCUUCCGAGAUCCAGGUCAGUUAUGAGAAAACUCCAUUGAUGGCAGCUCUGUACAUGUGGCUGAUGAAGCUGAAACCUACCAGCAAAUGAGACCUUGACGACUCAUUUCGACACCCGAACGAACCAUUGAAUAUGAUUGAUGCUUUCUUCACAAAGGAUAACUGUUUCGUCGGUUGAAAGACCUCAGCUGAUUGGGAAGGAGAAAACGUGUGGCCAGGAGAACGACCCCUUGACUGUUGUGUGGAUGGAAACGAUGACACCUGGUGCAGCAGCUUCCUGGAUUGGAUUGACGGAGUAAACCAACAAUUCCAUACGGAUGAAUACUGCCAUUCAUGCAUCGCGAUGAACCAUGACCACCCAGGUGCUCGAUGAGACGUGGGGACCUUCUUUUCUUUUUUGAGAGUUCAACCUGCAGACGGGCCGGCCAGUUUGCAUGUCCUUCACGCUUGAAGGUCGCGGGGAAAAUUACGUAAAACUGUCAAUGCGGUGGUGUAGAGGUUGGGUGAGAAUUGGACGUGUUGCAUCAUUAUCAAGCAGACCCACCCCCAGCAACGGAAACCUGCAGAAGGAAAAGGCCAGUUUGCAUGUCCUUGACGUUCGAAGGGAGAUCAUUACGUAAAACGUUUCAUGCAGUGGUUAAGAGGUUGGGUGAGAACGGGAAGUGUUUGCUUCAUUAUCAAGCAGGUAUAAUAGCCGCAAGGCUCAAGAGGUGAGGGUGAGGAAAAAUCUUAUAAAAGUAAGAGAGAAAAGGCUAAGGGAACUCAGUCGAGUGAGCACCUCCGACACGGCAACAACUGCAGCUCAUUAUUUGUCACCAACUGCCUUCAUUGUUAUGCCGGUUCGCAAUCACGGUUAACUAUGGCGCCGUGCUGCUGUUUGGUGUUGUAUGGUUAAUGGUUGGGUCGACCACGGGUGAACCGAUGUCUCCUGGACUUGGUGGAUACCAAGCAACAGCAGCGAGAAUAGUGCACCACGUCGCCGCCUUACUACACAACAACGUCUAGAUACACAACAUCUACUUGCUGCGCCGAGGCUCCUAAGUACUACACCACAGAGUAUACUGUCCCAGCCUACUACACCGAAGUCCCCUAGUACUACACGACUACGAAUGCUGCCCCAGCUUACUACACCGAGGCUCCAUCCUAUUUCAAUACCAAAGCGAUCGAGUACUACACUGAACCGCACAAGUACUACUCUGCCAGUAACUACACAACCACAACUGAGGCGGCCAAGUACUACGUAGCCCAGACUUAUAACACAGCAGCUGUUCCUUCCCUCUACGUUGAACUGUAAUACUACACCGAGGAUCCAGUCUACUACACCACAACCUAGGCUACACCCAGAUACUACGACGAAGCCCCCCAACUGCUACUACACCGAAAAGUUUACUUCACUAAGUAUAACUCUGCUCCAAGCUAUACCAAACUGAGGCUCCUGUUUACUACACCAAGGCCACCGGGUAUUACAUUACAACCAAAUGUUAAAUAUGCGUCGUACUGCUGUUAGCUGUUGUAUCCUUGAUGGUUAAGUCGACCACUGGUGUACCGAUGUCUCGGGGGAAUGUGGAUUCCAAACCGCGACGCCGCCGUCUUAUAACA